CAUUGAAGGUUGCUGCGCGUUACUCUUGGCUUCUCUAAAUUGUUUAGAAUGAAUGUAAAAAUAAUUACGAUAUUUCGCACGUACGGUCAUUGUUUGCAAUGAGCAUCCUGAAAUUCAAAAGAUUUGAUGGAGUUUGUGGCCGCAUUUUGAAGCUAGCUGCAGUUCCAGUGGUUACGGAGGAAUACGGUACCGGAGAAUCCGGUUCGGGCUAAGCGGAGUCGGCUCGAAGCUUUUUGUUACAUAACUGAAUGCAGAAGCCGACUUCGACUUCGGUAUCGGUGAGUGAGAGAAAAGAGGUUUGAAAACUAUAAAAAGGUGAUGGGAUUUAAGGUGGCAGGCGUUUAUCAGAUUUGUUGAGAUUGAUGCGAUUUUUUAUGCGAUAUAUAGAU